rnacentral:rRNA from 1 species
GACGAACGCUGGCGGCGUGCCUAAUACAUGCAAGUCGAACGCAUUUUCUUUCACCGUAGCUUGCUACACCGACAGAAACUGAGUGGCGAACGGGUGAGUAACACGUGGGUAACCUGCCCAUCAGCGGGGGAUAACACUUGGAAACAGGUGCUAAUACCGCAUAAUUCCAUUUACCGCAUGGUAGAUGGGUGAAAGGCGCUUUUGCGUCACUGAUGGAUGGACCCGCGGUGCAUUAGCUAGUUGGUGGGGUAACGGCCUACCAAGGCUGCGAUGCAUAGCCGACCUGAGAGGGUGAUCGGCCACACUGGGACUGAGACACGGCCCAGACUCCUACGGGAGGCAGCAGUAGGGAAUCUUCGGCAAUGGACGCAAGUCUGACCGAGCAACGCCGCGUGAGUGAAGAAGGUUGUCGGAUCGUAAAACUCUGUUGUUAGAGAAGAACAAGGAUGAGAGUGGAAAGUUCAUCCCUUGACGGUAUCUAACCAGAAAGCCACGGCUAACUACGUG